CCUCCGCAUUGGAGAUGGCGUCCCAGGAGACUUUCGAGGUCGCCAUCCUCGACGUGAACGUGGCGGGUGAGCCGAUCUACCCGGUGGCCGAGGC
rnacentral:tRNA from 1 species